UAGCCAAAAGUCGAGGGAGUCUCCGUUCUUCUUCUGAGUCCGCUUUAUCAACACAACACUACCGUCAGUUGUGUUGUGUUUCUGGUGGAAAUAAUUGCUUACACCCAUGUUCAGCACAGCUCAGUCCAGUGUUACCCCAACCAUGCUGUUCAACAAUUAUUUUCUCCGUGUCUUCACCAGUAACUGAAUGCACUGUUCGAGAACUGUAGAUAUUACUAGCGGCUAGCUCGGCGUGCACUUGACGAAGACUUCUUCGACGUGUUGCCAGCGCAGUUGGUUUUCGAGCAUGUCUUCAAGUUGUAGCUUCGAACAACAUGAUUCGAAAAGGCUUUGACCCGGCAGUUCUCGAAGUUAUGCUGUAGCUUGUGAAGUAAGUUGCCCGACUAGUUUUGUCUAGUAUUCCGUGAUGGUGGAGUUCCAGCUCUCCGUGACUCUAGUUUGUACCAUGCUGAACGUACAAGAUACGACCAAUCCUCCGCCGUGGACGGUAGCUGCUCCGCAAAGGUGACGGGAAUCUCGGAGAAGGGUGGAGGAAAACGAAGACUUCAAGGCAACACGGCUUGCUUAGCAACCUCUGCCCACUCGGCGACCACAAACUCUUGCCAUCUCCAUAGCCGAGCGUAGCUGUCCAAGAAGACGGCUGAUGUUGUCACACGGGCAAGUUCUGGGAGCAAGAGCGGCUGACCAGUGCUUGCAUACUUGUAGGAACAUAGGAACCUUCGACCAAUGGCCACUAGACCUUUUCAAGCGGUGCAGUCGUGGAGACCUGCGCAAACCGACCGCCUAUGUUGUCACCAGAAGAAGGUAUUGGAACUCGAGCAGAUGAUAAGUGCUUGCAUACUUGUAGGAACAUAGGAACCUUCGACCAAUGGCCACUAGACCUUUCAAGUGGUGCAGUCGUGGAGACCCGCGCAAACCGACCGCCUAUGUUGUCACCAGAAGAAGGUAUUGGAACUCGAGCAGAUGAUAAGGCUCCGCAAGUGGCAUAGCCGCAGUGCUGUUUCGCAUGCCAGGGCUUGCUGCUGCCGGGAGGAUGUGGGUAUCAAGUCCAGGAUGCGAUGGUCUUAGAAAUCACGUGAUCCCCAGCUGAUUGUAGAUGUGGAUGAUAGCAGUCACAUGAUCUCCAGCUAAUCAUGCAUCACCGCAGUCACAUCACCCCGAGCUGAUUUUGCACCAUAGCAGUCAUUCUGAUCAUGAGCCGUCUUGGGGUGAUUCACAUGGUCAAGGAACCUGUCCAGGUCCGUGUGCUAUGGUCAUCUCGAAAGUGCUGCUCGCCAUCUAUGCAGCCUGUAUGCACACACCUCAACUGCAUUAUUUCAAGCAUAUCCUGACGCAUCUCACUGGUAUUUGGAUAUCAACCUGACACUCUGAAUCCGU